AUGCCAUGGUGAGGGCACUUCACUAGCAUCCCUUUAAAUCUUUCCCAAGUUUCUUUCAAGGACUCAGUUGGCUGCUGCUUAUACUGCAAUAUUUCAUCAAUCUGUCU
rnacentral:snoRNA from 1 species